rnacentral:rRNA from 1 species
GUUGUGAGGUUAAGCGACUAAGCGUACACGGUGGAUGCCCUGGCAGUCAGAGGCGAUGAAGGGCGUACUAAUCUGCGAUAAGCGCCGGUAAGGUGAUAUGAACCGUUAUAACCGGCGAUACCCGAAUGGGGAAACCCAGUGUGAUUCGUCACACUAUCAUUAACUGAAUCCAUAGGUUAAUGAGGCGAACCGGGGGAACUGAAACAUCUAAGUACCCCGAGGAAAAGAAAUCAACCGAGAUUCCCCCAGUAGCGGCGAGCGAACGGGGAGGAGCCCAGAGCCUGAAUCAGCAUGUGUGUUAGUGGAAGCGUCUGGAAAGGCGCGCGAUACAGGGUGACAGCCCCGUACACAAAAGCGCAUGUGCUGUGAGCUCGAUGAGUAGGGCGGGACACGUGGUAUCCUGUCUGAAUAUGGGGGGACCAUCCUCCAAGGCUAAAUACUCCUGACUGACCGAUAGUGAACCAGUACCGUGAGGGAAAGGCGAAAAGAACCCCGGCGAGGGGAGUGAAAAAGAACCUGAAACCGUGUACGUACAAGCAGUGGGAGCACCCUUUGGGUGUGACUGCGUACCUUUUGUAUAAUGGGUCAGCGACUUAUAUUCUGUAGCAAGGUUAACCGAAUAGGGGAGCCGGAGGGAAACCGAGUCUUAAUUGGGCGUUAAGUUGCAGGGUAUAGACCCGAAACCCGGUGAUCUAGCCAUGGGCAGGUUGAAGGUUGGGUAACACUAACUGGAGGACCGAACCGACUAAUGUUGAAAAAUUAGCGGAUGACCUGUGGCUGGGGGUGAAAGGCCAAUCAAACCGGGAGAUAGCUGGUUCUCCCCGAAAGCUAUUUAGGUAGCGCCUCGUGAAUUCAUCUCCGGGGGUAGAGCACUGUUUCGGCUAGGGGGCCAUCCCGGCUUACCAACCCGAUGCAAACUGCGAAUACCGGAGAAUGUUAUCACGGGAGACACACGGCGGGUGCUAACGUCCGUCGUGAAGAGGGAAACAACCCAGACCGCCAGCUAAGGUCCCAAAGUCAUGGUUAAGUGGGAAACGAUGUGGGAAGGCCCAGACAGCCAGGAUGUUGGCUUAGAAGCAGCCAUCAUUUAAAGAAAGCGUAAUAGCUCACUGGUCGAGUCGGCCUGCGCGGAAGAUGUAACGGGGCUAAACCAUGCACCGAAGCUGCGGCAGCGACACUGUGUGUUGUUGGGUAGGGGAGCGUUCUGUAAGCCUGUGAAGGUGUGUCGUGAGGCAUGCUGGAGGUAUCAGAAGUGCGAAUGCUGACAUAAGUAACGAUAAAGCGGGUGAAAAGCCCGCUCGCCGGAAGACCAAGGGUUCCUGUCCAACGUUAAUCGGGGCAGGGUGAGUCGACCCCUAAGGCGAGGCCGAAAGGCGUAGUCGAUGGGAAACGGGUUAAUAUUCCCGUACUUGGUGUUACUGCGAAGGGGGGACGGAGAAGGCUAUGUUGGCCGGGCGACGGUUGUCCCGGUUUAAGCGUGUAGGUGUGUGUUCCAGGUAAAUCCGGUUCACUUUAACACUGAGGCGUGACGACGAGGCACUACGGUGCUGAAGCAACAAAUGCCCUGCUUCCAGGAAAAGCCUCUAAGCAUCAGGUAACAUCAAAUCGUACCCCAAACCGACACAGGUGGUCAGGUAGAGAAUACCAAGGCGCUUGAGAGAACUCGGGUGAAGGAACUAGGCAAAAUGGUGCCGUAACUUCGGGAGAAGGCACGCUGACACGUAGGUGAAGUGAUUUACUCAUGGAGCUGAAGUCAGUCGAAGAUACCAGCUGGCUGCAACUGUUUAUUAAAAACACAGCACUGUGCAAACACGAAAGUGGACGUAUACGGUGUGACGCCUGCCCGGUGCCGGAAGGUUAAUUGAUGGGGUCAGCGCAAGCGAAGCUCCUGAUCGAAGCCCCGGUAAACGGCGGCCGUAACUAUAACGGUCCUAAGGUAGCGAAAUUCCUUGUCGGGUAAGUUCCGACCUGCACGAAUGGCGUAAUGAUGGCCAGGCUGUCUCCACCCGAGACUCAGUGAAAUUGAACUCGCUGUGAAGAUGCAGUGUACCCGCGGCAAGACGGAAAGACCCCGUGAACCUUUACUAUAGCUUGACACUGAACAUUGAGCCUUGAUGUGUAGGAUAGGUGGGAGGCUUUGAAGUGUGGACGCCAGUCUGCAUGGAGCCGACCUUGAAAUACCACCCUUUAAUGUUUGAUGUUCUAACGUGGACCCGUUACCCGGGUUGCGGACAGUGUCUGGUGGGUAGUUUGACUGGGGCGGUCUCCUCCUAAAGAGUAACGGAGGAGCACGAAGGUUGGCUAAUCCUGGUCGGACAUCAGGAGGUUAGUGCAAUGGCAUAAGCCAGCUUGACUGCGAGCGUGACGGCGCGAGCAGGUGCGAAAGCAGGUCAUAGUGAUCCGGUGGUUCUGAAUGGAAGGGCCAUCGCUCAACGGAUAAAAGGUACUCCGGGGAUAACAGGCUGAUACCGCCCAAGAGUUCAUAUCGACGGCGGUGUUUGGCACCUCGAUGUCGGCUCAUCACAUCCUGGGGCUGAAGUAGGUCCCAAGGGUAUGGCUGUUCGCCAUUUAAAGUGGUACGCGAGCUGGGUUUAGAACGUCGUGAGACAGUUCGGUCCCUAUCUGCCGUGGGCGCUGGAGAACUGAGGGGGGCUGCUCCUAGUACGAGAGGACCGGAGUGGACGCAUCACUGGUGUUCGGGUUGUCAUGCCAAUGGCACUGCCCGGUAGCUAAAUGCGGAAGAGAUAAGUGCUGAAAGCAUCUAAGCACGAAACUUGCCCCGA